GAGUUUGAUCCUGGCUCAGGAUGAACUGCUGGCGGCGUGCUUAACACAUGCAAGUCUGAACUGGGAAGCAUUUUACUGGACACUACUGGUAGAAGUAGGGUGUGGAGAGUGGCGAACGGGUGCUGUAACACGUAGGUAACCUGCCCUGAAGCGGGGGAUAACCAUGGGAAACCGUGGCUAAUACCGCAUAGACUCACGGAAGUGGGAGCUUAGUGAGGAAAGUCGAGGCGUUUGAGGAGGGGCCUGCGGUCGAUUAGCUGGUUGGUGGGGUAAAGGCCUACCAAGGCGAUGAUCGAUAGCUGUUCUGAGAGGAAGGCCAGCCACACGGGAACUGAGACACGGUUCCGACUCCUACGGGGGGCAGCAGUGAGGAAUAUUGCGCAAUGGGGGCAACCCUGACGCAGCAACGCCGCGUGGAGGAUGAAGGUUUUCGGAUUGUAAACUCCUUAUCUGGGGGAAGAGAGAGGACGGUACCCCAGGACGAAGACACGGCUAACUACGUGCCAGCAGCCGCGGUAACACGUAGGUGUCGAGCGUUAUCCGGAAUUACUGGGCGUAAAGGGUGCGCAGGCGGCGAUGCAAGUCUAGCGUGAAAGCUCCCGGCUUAACUGGGAGAGGACGUUGGAAACUGUGUGGCUAGAGUGAAUGAGAGGGGGGCGGAAAUCCCGGUGUAGUGGUGGAAUGCGUAGAUAUCGGGAAGAACACCAGAGGCGAAGGCAGGCCUCCUGGCAUUUUACUGACGCUGAGGUGCGAAAGCAGUGGGUAGCGAACGGGAUUAGAUACCCUGGUAGUC
rnacentral:rRNA from 1 species